UACGUAGGGGGCGAGCGUUGUCCGGAUUUACUGGGCGUAAAGAGCGCGUAGGCGGAUGUUUAAGUGUGGCCUCAAAGCCCCCGGCUCAACCGGGGAUCUGGGUUGCAAACUGGGCAUCUUGAGGGGGAUAGAGGAGAGUGGAAUUCCUGGUGUAGCGGUGAAAUGCGUAGAUAUCAGGAGGAACCACCGUGGCGAAGGCGGCUCUCUGGGUCCGCCCUGACGCUGAGGCGCGAAAGCGUGGGGAGCGAACGGG
rnacentral:rRNA from 1 species